UACGGAGGGUGCGAGCGUUAAUCGGAAUCACUGGGCGUAAAGCGCGCGUAGGCGGCUUUUCAAGUCAGGGGUGAAAUCCCACGGCCCAACCGUGGAACUGCCUUUGAAACUGUAGAGCUUGAGUGUCGGAGAGGGUGGCGGAAUUCCAGGUGUAGGAGUGAAAUCCGUAGAUAUAUGGAGGAACACCGGUGGCGAAAGCGGCUCUCUGGCCUGUAACUGACACUGAGGCUCGAAAGCGUGGGGAGCAAACAGG
rnacentral:rRNA from 1 species